rnacentral:tRNA from 1 species
GAUGCUGCUCAGUGGUUGAGUGCUUGCCUACCAUAUGCAAGGCCCUGGGUUUGAUUCCCAGCACCACCA